rnacentral:rRNA from 1 species
UACAGAGGGUGCGAGCGUUGUCCGGAAUCACUGGGCGUAAAGGGCGCGUAGGCGGCUUGAUAAGGUUGCGGUGAAAGCCCGGGCUCAACCCCGGGUCGGCCGUGGCAACUGUCGAGCUGGAGCACUGUAGAGGCAGGUGGAAUUCCGGGUGUAGCGGUGAAAUGCGCAGAUAUCAGGAAGAACACCUAUGGCGAAGGCAGCUCUCUGGGACGGUACUGACGCUGAGACGCGAAAGCGUGGGGAGCGAACAGG